CAGCGCUUAACUGCGCGGAACAACCUUCUACACAUUGUUUUUUGUCGGCUUGUCCGAUUCUUUUUAAACACAAUAACUAUACUAUUUCAAAAAUUAAACAAAAAAAUCAAAACUUUCAGCAACGGAUCUCUUGGUUCUCGCAUCGAUGAAGAACGCAGCGAAUUGCGAUAAGUAAUGUGAAUUGCAGAUUUUCGUGAAUCAUCGAAUCUUUGAACGCAUAUUGCACUCUAUAGUAUUCUGUAGAGUAUGCUUGUUUGAGCGUCAUUUCAUUCUUAAACUCUUGAGUUUAGUUAUGGAGGAAGUCUGCUUGCAGACGUCUCUGAAAUGAAUUGGCACUGACCUCAUCAUACUUAUGGUGUGCGAAAUUUAUUAUCUUAGGUUUUUCCAGUUUAGUAAAUUACCGUAUACUUGUGUGUUAAGGAAGGGGCCGUUAGAACACCAUCUAAUUUUGACCUCAAAUCAAGUAAGGAU
rnacentral:misc_RNA from 1 species